UACGUAGGGUGCAAGCGUUGUCCGGAAUUAUUGGGCGUAAAGAGCUCGUAGGCGGUUUGUCGCGUCUGCUGUGAAAACUCGGGGCUUAACCCCGGGCCUGCAGUGGGUACGGGCAGACUAGAGUGCGGUAGGGGAGACUGGAAUUCCUGGUGUAGCGGUGAAAUGCGCAGAUAUCAGGAGGAACACCGGUGGCGAAGGCGGGUCUCUGGGCCGUAACUGACGCUGAGGCGCGAAAGCGUGGGGAGCAAACGGG
rnacentral:rRNA from 1 species